UGCUUUGCGCUGUGGCAGUAUCGUAGYCUAUGAGGUUAACCCGAAGUGCGAUUAUUGCUAGUUGAAACUUUACAUAUUACUUGAUUAAACAUAAACUUUCUAUUUUUCUUUCUAGAACAGUGUUAUCCAUAUAAGAAAACCUGCCAGUGGG
rnacentral:snRNA from 1 species